rnacentral:tRNA from 1 species
GGCAGCAUGGUGUAGUGGUUUGAGUGUUAGACUAUGACUCUGGAGACCAGGGUUCAAACCCCCACCUGGCCA